AUUGAACGCUGGCGGCAGGCCUAACACAUGCAAGUCGAACGGUAACAGGAAGAAGCUUGCUUCUUUGCUGACGAGUGGCGGACGGGUGAGUAAUGUCUGGGAAACUGCCUGAUGGAGGGGGAUAACUACUGGAAACGGUAGCUAAUACCGCAUAACGUCUCAAGACCAAAGAGGGGGACCUUCGUGCCUCUUGCCAUCGGAUGUGCCCAGAUGGGAUUAGCUAGUAGGUGGGGUAACGGCUCACCUAGUCGACGAUCCCUAGCUGGUCUGAGAGGAUGACCAGCCACACUGGAACUUGGCCACGGUCCAGACUCCUACGGGAGGCAGCAGUGGGGAAUAUUGCACAAUGGGCGCAAGCCUGGUGCAGCCAUGCCGCGUGUAUGAAGAAGGCCUUCGGGUUGUAAAGUACUUUCAGCGGGGAGGAAGGGAGUAAAGUUAAUACCUUUGCCCAUUGACGUUACCCGCAGAAGAAGCACCGGCUAACUCCGUG
rnacentral:rRNA from 1 species